CGGANGGCAGCACGCCUGACCACUGAAUGCAUUGGGGACUUUGAGCAGGGCCGAGCGGGCGGCCACGGAGGUGGCGGCGGGCCGUGGGGUCUUGGCAGUGCAUUGAGUGGUCAGGUGGUGGCGAGUGGCGAACGGGUGAGUAAUGCAUCGGAACGUACCCAGUGGUGGGGGACAACCCCGAGAAAUCGGGGCUAAUACCGCAUACGCUCGGGAGAGGAAAGCGGGGGACCUGGUGACGGGCCUCGCGCCAUUGGAGCGGCCGAUGUCGGAUUAGCUGGUUGGUGGGGUAAUGGCCCACCAAGGCGACGAUCCGUAGCUGGUCUGAGAGGACGGCCAGCCACACUGGGACUGAGACACGGCCCAGACUCCUACGGGAGGCAGCAGUGAGGAAUUUUGGACAAUGGGGGCAACCCUGAUCCAGCCAUGCCGCGUGGGUGAAGAAGGCCUUCGGGUUGUAAAGCCCUUUCGGCGGGGACGAAAUCGCGGGGGUGAGAAGCCUUCGUGGAUGACGGUACUCGCAGAAGAAGCACCGGCUAACUACGUGCCAGCAGCCGCGGUAAUACGUAGGGUGCGAGCGUUAAUCGGAAUUACUGGGCGUAAAGCGUGCGCAGGCGGCCCUUUAAGUCAGGUGUGAAAGCCCUGGGCUUAACCUAGGAAUGGCGCUUGAAACUGGGGGGCUAGAGUGCGGCAGAGGGGGGUGGAAUUCCUGGUGUAGCGGUGANNUGCGUANAGAUCANGAGGAACACCGAUGGCGGANGCAGCCCCCUGGGUCGACACUGACGCUCNNNNCGAAAGCGUGGGGANCAAACAGGAUUANNUACCCUGGNNAUCCACGCCCUAAACGAUGUCNAC
rnacentral:rRNA from 1 species